rnacentral:rRNA from 1 species
AGGCCUAACACAUGCAAGUCGAGCGGUAGCGGGCCUGACCACUCUCGAGUGGUUCAGGCGCCGACGAGCGGCGGACGGGUGCGUAACACGUAGGAAUCUGCCCGGUAGUGGGGGAUAGCCCGGAGAAAUUCGGAUUAAUACCGCAUACGCCCUAAGGGGGAAAGCAGGGGAUCGGUUCGCCGACCUUGCGCUAUCGGAUGAGCCUGCGUCGGAUUAGCUAGUUGGUGGGGUAAAGGCCUACCAAGGCGACGAUCCGUAGCUGGUCUGAGAGGAUGAUCAGCCACACUGGGACUGAGACACGGCCCAGACUCCUACGGGAGGCAGCAGUGGGGAAUAUUGCACAAUGGGCGAAAGCCUGAUGCAGCCAUGCCGCGUGUGUGAAGAAGGCCCUAGGGUUGUAAAGCACUUUCAGUGGGGAGGAAAGGUCGAAGGUUAAUACCCUUUGGCUGUGACGUUACCCACAGAAGAAGCACCGGCUAACUCCGUGCCAGCAGCCGCGGUAAUACGGAGGGUGCGAGCGUUAAUCGGAAUUACUGGGCGUAAAGCGUGCGUAGGCGGCCAUUUAAGUUGGAUGUGAAAGCCCCGGGCUCAACCUGGGAACUGCAUCCAAAACUGGGUGGCUUGAGUGCGAGAGAGGAGUGUGGAAUUUCCUGUGUAGCGGUGAAAUGCGUAGAUAUAGGAAGGAACACCAGUGGCGAAGGCGACACUCUGGCUUGACACUGACGCUGAGGUACGAAAGCGUGGGGAGCAAACAGGAUUAGAUACCCUGGUAGUCCACGCCGUAAACGAUGUCUACUAGUUGUCGGUGGUCUUGUACUGCUGGUAACGCAGCUAACGCGAUAAGUAGACCGCCUGGGGAGU